rnacentral:rRNA from 1 species
CAAUACCCGAGUCGAGCGGCGAACGGGUGAGUAACGCGUGGAUAACCUGCCCUUGAGUGGGGAAUAACCCGGGGAAACUCGGGCUAAUACCGCAUACGACCGAGAGGUCAAAGGGGGCUCGCAAGAGCUCUCGCUGAAGGAGGGGUCCGCGUCCGAUUAGCUAGUUGGUAGGGUAACGGCCUACCAAGGCGACGAUCGGUAGCCGGCCUGAGAGGGUGAUCGGCCACACUGGAACUGAGACACGGUCCAGACUCCUACGGGAGGCAGCAGUGGGGAAUUUUGCGCAAUGGGCGAGAGCCUGACGCAGCAACGCCGCGUGGAGGAUGAAGGUCCUUGGAUUGUAAACUCCUGUCAGCGGGGAAAAAGCGACCAUACCUCAUACGUAUGGGAGUUGAUUGUACCCGCAGAGGAAGCCCCGGCUAACUCUGUGCCAGCAGCCGCGGUAAUACAGAGGGGGCAAGCGUUAUUCGGAAUUAUUGGGCGUAAAGGGCGCGUAGGCGGCUUUGCCAGUGACGGGUGAAAUCCCUCGGCUUAACCGAGGAACUGCCUGUCAAACUGCAUGGCUUGAGACCGGGAGAGGUGAAGUGGAAUUCCCAGUGUAGCGGUGAAAUGCGUAGAUAUUGGGAGGAACACCAGUUGGCGAAGGCGGCUCACUGGACCGGAACUGACGCUGAAGCGCGAAAGCGUGGGGAGCAAACAGGAUUAGAUACCCUGGUAGUCCACGCCGUAAACGAUGAGUGCUUGGUUGUAGCGGGUAUCGACCCCUGCUGUGCCGAAGUCAACACAUUAAGCACUCCGCCUGGGGAGUACGGUCGCAAGGCUGAAACUC